CCUACGGGUGGCAGCAGUGGGGAAUAUUGCACAAUGGGCGGAACCCUGAUGCAGCGAAGCCGCGUGAGUGAAGAAGUAUUUCGGUGUGGCAAGCUCUAUCAGCAGAGAAGAAAAUGAAGGUACCUGACUAAGAAGCCCCGGCUAACUUCGUGCCAGCAGCCGCGGUCAUACGUAGGUGGCAAGCGUUAUCCGGAUUUACUGGGUGUAAAGGGAGCGUAGACGGUUAUGCAAAUCUGAAGUGAAAGCCCAAGGCUCAACCAUGGGACUGCAUUGGAAACUGGAAAACUGGAGUGCAGGAGAGGUAAGCGGAAUUCGUAGUGUAGCGGUGAAAUGCGUAGAUAUUAGGAGGAACACCAGUGGCGAAGGCGGCUUACUGGACUGUAACUGACGUUGAGGCUCGAAGGCGUGGGGAGCAAACAGGAUUAGAUACCCCUGUAGUC
rnacentral:rRNA from 1 species